GAUGAACGCUGGCGGCGUGCCUAAUACAUGCAAGUCGAGCGAACAGACGAGGAUCUUGCGUCUCUGAUGUUAGCGGCGGGCGGGUGUGUCACACGUGGAUAACCUACCUAUCAGACUGAGAAAACUUCGGAAAACCGUAGAUUAUCCCGGAUAAUAUUUUGAACCACGUGGGUCAAUAGUAAGAUACGGUCUUGCUGGCACGUAUAGCUGGAUCCCCGCUGCAUUAGCUAGUUGGUAAGGUAACGGGUUACCAAGGCGACGAUGCCUAGCCGAGCUGAGAGAGGGAUCGGCCACACUGGAACUGAGCCGCGGUCCAUGCUCCUACGAGAGGCAGCAGUCUGGAAUCUUCCGCAGUGGGCGAAAGCAUGACGGAGCGACGCCGCGUGAGUGAUGGAGGUCCCCGGAGCGUAAAACUCUGUUAUUAGGGAAGAACCGCUGUGGACGGAACCGUGCACAGCGUGACGGUACCUAAUCAGAAAGCCACGGCUAACUACGUG
rnacentral:rRNA from 1 species